AGUGAACGCUGGCGGUAGGCCUAACACAUGCAAGUCGAACGGCAGCACAGUAAGAGCUUGCUCUUACGGGUGGCGAGUGGCGGACGGGUGAGGAAUACAUCGGCAUCUACUUUUUCGUGGGGGAUAACGUAGGGAAACUUACGCUAAUACCGCAUACGACCUACGGGUUAAAGCAGGGGAUCUUCGGACCUUUCGCGAUUGAAUGAGCCGAUGUCGGAUUAGCUAGUUUGCGGGGUAAAGGCCCACCAAGGCGACGAUCCGUAGCUGGUCUGAGAGGAUGAUCAGCCACACUGGAACUGAGACACGGGCCAGACUCCUACGGGAGGCAGCAGUGGGGAAUAUUGGACAAUGGGCGCAAGCCUGAUCCAGCCAUACCGCGUGGGGGAAGAAGGCCUUCGGGUUGGAAAGCCCUUUUGUUGGGAAAGAAAAGCAGCAGGUUAAUACCCCGCUGUUCUGACGGUACCCAAAGAAUAAGCACCGGCUAACUUCGUG
rnacentral:rRNA from 1 species